AUUGAACGCUGGCGGCAGGCUUAACACAUGCAAGUCGAGCGGAGAUGAGGUGCUUGCACCUUAUCUUAGCGGCGGACGGGUGAGUAAUGCUUAGGAAUCUGCCUAUUAGUGGGGGACAACAUUCCGAAAGGAAUGCUAAUACCGCAUACGCCCUACUGGGGAAAGCAGGGGAUCUUCGGACCUUGCGCUAAUAGAUGAGCCUAAGUCAGAUUAGCUAGUUGGUGGGGUAAAGGCCUACCAAGGCGACGAUCUGUAGCGGGUCUGAGGGGAUGAUCCGCCACACUGGGAGUGAGACACGGCCCAGACCCCUACGGGAGGCAGCAGUGGGGAAUAUUGGACAAUGGGCGGAAGCCUGAUCUAGCCAUGCCGCGUGUGUGAAGAAGGCCUUUUGGUUGUAAAGCACUUUAAGCGAGGAGGAGGCUACCUGGAUUAAUACUCUAGGAUAGUGGACGUUACUCGCAGAAUAAGCACCGGCUAACUCUGUGCCAGCAGCCGCCGUAAUAC
rnacentral:rRNA from 1 species